rnacentral:rRNA from 1 species
GACGAACGCUGGCGGCGUGCUUAACACAUGCAAGUCGAGCGGUAAGGCCCUUUCGGGGGUACGACGAGCGGCGAACGGGUGAGUAACACGUGGGUGACCUGCCCUUACGCUCUGGGAUAAGCCUGGGAAACUGGGUCUAAUACCGGAUAUGACUCCAUGACGCAUGUUGUGGGGUGGAAAGCCUUGUGCGGCUAGGGAUGGGCCCGCGGCCUAUCAGCUUGUUGGUGGGGUGAUGGCCACCAAGGCGACGACGGGUAGCCGGCCUGAGAGGGCGACCGGCCACACUGGGACUGAGACACGGCCCAGACUCCUACGGGAGGCAGCAGUGGGGAAUCUUGCGCAAUGGGCGAAAGCCUGACGCAGCGACGCCGCGU